rnacentral:rRNA from 1 species
GGGCGUUAAGUUGCAGGGUAUAGACCCGAAACCCGGUGAUCUAGCCAUGGGCAGGUUGAAGGUUGGGUAACACUAACUGGAGGACCGAACCGACUAAUGUUGAAAAAUUAGCGGAUGACCUGUGGCUGGGGGUGAAAGGCCAAUCAAACCGGGAGAUAGCUGGUUCUCCCCGAAAGCUAUUUAGGUAGCGCCUCGUGAAUUCAUCUCCGGGGGUAGAGCACUGUUUCGGCUAGGGGGCCAUCCCGGCUUACCAACCCGAUGCAAACUGCGAAUACCGGAGAAUGUUAUCACGGGAGACACACGGCGGGUGCUAACGUCCGUCGUGAAGAGGGAAACAACCCAGACCGCCAGCUAAGGUCCCAAAGUCAUGGUUAAGUGGGAAACGAUGUGGGAAGGCCCAGACAGCCAGGAUGUUGGCUUAGAAGCAGCCAUCAUUUAAAGAAAGCGUAAUAGCUCACUGGUCGAGUCGGCCUGCGCGGAAGAUGUAACGGGGCUAAACCAUGCACCGAAGCUGCGGCAGCGACGCUUAUGCGUUGUUGGGUAGGGGAGCGUUCUGUAAGCCUGUGAAGGUGGCCUGUGAGGGUUGCUGGAGGUAUCAGAAGUGCGAAUGCUGACAUAAGUAACGAUAAAGCGGGUGAAAAGCCCGCUCGCCGGAAGACCAAGGGUUCCUGUCCAACGUUAAUCGGGGCAGGGUGAGUCGACCCCUAAGGCGAGGCCGAAAGGCGUAGUCGAUGGGAAACAGGUUAAUAUUCCUGUACUUGGUGUUACUGCGAAGGGGGGACGGAGAAGGCUAUGUUGGCCGGGCGACGGUUGUCCCGGUUUAAGCGUGUAGGUGUGUGUUCCAGGUAAAUCCGGUUCACUUUAACACUGAGGCGUGAUGACGAGGCACUACGGUGCUGAAGCAACAAAUGCCCUGCUUCCAGGAAAAGCCUCUAAGCAUCAGGUAACAUCAAAUCGUACCCCAAACCGACACAGGUGGUCAGGUAGAGAAUACCAAGGCGCUUGAGAGAACUCGGGUGAAGGAACUAGGCAAAAUGGUGCCGUAACUUCGGGAGAAGGCACGCUGACACGUAGGUGAAGUGAUUUACUCAUGGAGCUGAAGUCAGUCGAAGAUACCAGCUGGCUGCAACUGUUUAUUAAAAACACAGCACUGUGCAAACACGAAAGUGGACGUAUACGGUGUGACGCCUGCCCGGUGCCGGAAGGUUAAUUGAUGGGGUCAGCGCAAGCGAAGCUCCUGAUCGAAGCCCCGGUAAACGGCGGCCGUAACUAUAACGGUCCUAAGGUAGCGAAAUUCCUUGUCGGGUAAGUUCCGACCUGCACGAAUGGCGUAAUGAUGGCCAGGCUGUCUCCACCCGAGACUCAGUGAAAUUGAACUCGCUGUGAAGAUGCAGUGUACCCGCGGCAAGACGGAAAGACCCCGUGAACCUUUACUAUAGCUUGACACUGAACAUUGAGCCUUGAUGUGUAGGAUAGGUGGGAGGCUUUGAAGUGUGGACGCCAGUCUGCAUGGAGCCGACCUUGAAAUACCACCCUUUAAUGUUUGAUGUUCUAACGUGGACCCGUGAUCCGGGUUGCGGACAGUGUCUGGUGGGUAGUUUGACUGGGGCGGUCUCCUCCUAAAGAGUAACGGAGGAGCACGAAGGUUGGCUAAUCCUGGUCGGACAUCAGGAGGUUAGUGCAAUGGCAUAAGCCAGCUUGACUGCGAGCGUGACGGCGCGAGCAGGUGCGAAAGCAGGUCAUAGUGAUCCGGUGGUUCUGAAUGGAAGGGCCAUCGCUCAACGGAUAAAAGGUACUCCGGGGAUAACAGGCUGAUACCGCCCAAGAGUUCAUAUCGACGGCGGUGUUUGGCACCUCGAUGUCGGCUCAUCACAUCCUGGGGCUGAAGUAGGUCCCAAGGGUAUGGCUGUUCGCCAUUUAAAGUGGUACGCGAGCUGGGUUUAGAACGUCGUGAGACAGUUCGGUCCCUAUCUGCCGUGGGCGCUGGAGAACUGAGGGGGGCUGCUCCUAGUACGAGAGGACCGGAGUGGACGCAUCACUGGUGUUCGGGUUGUCAUGCCAAUGGCACUGCCCGGUAGCUAAAUGCGGAAGAGAUAAGUGCUGAAAGCAUCUAAGCACGAAACUUGCCCCGAGAUGAGUUCUCCCUGAGACUUAGAGUCUCCUGAAGGAACGUUGAAGACGACGACGUUGAUAGGCCGGGUGUGUAAGCGCAGCGAUGCGUUGAGCUAACCGGUACUAAUGAACCGUGAGGCUUAACCUUACAACGCCGAAG